UUUUAAUUUUUUUUUAAUGUUUAUUUAUUUUUGAGAGAGAGAGAGACAGAGCAUGAGCAGGGAAGGGGCAGAGAGAGAAGGAGACACAGAAUCGGAAGCAGGCUCCAGGCUUCGAGCUGUCGGCACAGAGCCCGACGCGGGGCUCGAACUUAUGAGCCACGAGAUCACGACCUGAGCCGCAGUUGGACGCUCAACCGACUGAGCCACCCAGGCGCCCCUAAAGCAUGUGACUCUUGAUCUCAGGGUUGUGAGUUCAAGCCUCACAGUGGGCAGGGAGCUUACUUUAAGAAAAGAAGAAGAAUCCAGAGACAUGGUGGAACACGUCCUCAGAAAUUGUUGCUGAGGUAGGAUCUCAGUUUCGUGCUCUGCUUCUUCCCUUGGCUCCGCCCUGAACCCAGUCCUCUACCUUCCUAUGGGCUGUGUGAGUUGCCCAACACCUUUCCAGUUAAUUCCUCUUCUGUUUAAGUUACCUGCCAUUUGCUCUCAAGAACCCUGACUAGAACAUGACCUCAUAGGACUAUUUUGAGGAUUGAAUAAGACGAUGUAUAUAAGGCCUUUAGCCCAGUACUUGUCAUGGGUAAACACUUACUGAAUCAUUGAUCUGAGAAACAACAAAGAAAAUGACAGAAUAGUGACAGACUUGGAUACUUGGUUAGUUGUGGGAGAAGAAUAAAAAGGAAGAAUGGGGAAGGUAACACUAAGUUUACAAACCUGUCUUCCACAUCCUUAUUCUACCUCGAACAAGAAUCUAGAAGCCAACAGAAGGAUGGUUAGGCGUUAAUGGCGAAACACUGACCUCUCAGCAUGUCGACUGAGAACAAGCCCUGAAGCUUGCCACUCCCCAAGAAGCAUCUGAUGCCAUACUCAAAUCACGCUGCUUGGUGUCCCAAGAACACAUCGUGUUAUUCUGAGCUCUGCUGCCUCUCACACUCUGCUCUCUUUGCCUGAAAUGUCCUUCUCAUCCUCCUUCGACUUCAACUCAUUUAGGACUUGGGUUGCAUCUCUUACCCUCAAUGAAGCCCUUCCCUAAUUCCUUCCAGGCAGUGUUACAUUUUAUUCCGAAGUGCUCUUUUUUUAAAAAAACGAAAUUCUUUUCCAUCA